rnacentral:misc_RNA from 1 species
AAGACUAUAGACCUGCGGAGUACCUGCGGAGGGAUCAUUACGUAUCUCUGACGGGAGGCGGUGCGCCCAGCUCCGGUCCAAACGGCCGUGCAGCGGGUGCCCGCCCCUGUUCACACCUCACAAACCCACCGUGAACCCUCACGGCAGAGGGAGGGGGCGACCCUUCCGAUGCCGCAUACCAAAAACACCUGUUGUACAGAACGUCGUGCGGACUCUGUUCCGCCUAAAUCACAAAACAAC